rnacentral:lncRNA from 1 species
CAAAAAAACCUUAAAGAAAUUUCAAACAAACAAUAAAAAUUCUUAAAGAAAUAUUAGAAGGAUCACAAAUAUCACUCAAAUACAUCACAAAUCAAUCUUAAUUUAAUUCUAGUUAAAAUCCUAUUGAACUUCAUUCAAACUUUAGGCCAAAACUAAUUGAAUCUUAAAUCCUAAUAAAAUUCUAAAUCCUAAAUCAAACCCUAAAAAAUCCUUAAACCAAACCCCAACCAAAUCCUAAACCAAAUCUUAAAUCCUAAAUCAAACCCUAACCAAAUUCUAAUUCAAAUCUUAAAUCCUAAACCAAAUCCUAAUUCAAAUCCUAAAUCCUAAAUAAAACACUAAUCAAACCCUAAAUCCUAACCCUAAACCCUAAACCAAAUCUUAAUCCAAAUUCUAAAUCAAAUCCUAAUCCUAAAUCAAAUCCUAAACUAAAUCUUAAAUCCUAAACCAAAUCCUAAAUCAAAUCCUAACCCUAAAUCAAAUCCUAAUUCAAA